rnacentral:sRNA from 1 species
AUAACCCUGCAUGUGUACUCGCCCUCUCUGCCCCACCUCUACCCAGUCCUACCCAGUCCCCCACUCCUCCCCUUGGCUCUGACUGCUCUGCCCCCCAGGGGGCUACUGAGUCUCCCUCUUGCUUCCUUCUGGGGGGCGGUGCUUACAGCCAUCCUCUCCAGCUCCCUCUGGGGCCUGUGUUGCUGAGCCCAGGGCCAAGGAGCUGGCUGAGUGUCUCAAGCAGAGGCUGUUGAAGUACCAAGUAACUAACUGCCAGUCUAUGCCGCCACCCCACGGAGCUAUGAAGUGCACGUGGCUGAGGGCUCCAUGAAGAAGGAGUUCCCGCAGAACCUGGGAGGCAGCGACACAUGCUACUUCUGCCAGAAGCGGGUCUACGUGAUGGAGAGGCUGAGUGCCGAGGGCAAGUUCUUCCACCGGAGCUGCUUCAAGUGCGAGUACUGCGCCACCACCCUGCGCCUCUCGGCCUACGCCUACGACAUCGAGGAUGGUAAAUUCUACUGUAAGCCACACUACUGCUAUCGACUCUCUGGCUACGCACAAAGGAAGAGACCGGCAGUGGCUCCCCUGUCUGGAAAG